GACGAACGCUGGCGGCGUGCUUAGCACAUGCAAGUCGAACGCUGAAGCUUGGUGCUUGCACUGGGUGGAUGAGUGGCGAACGGGUGAGUAAUACGUGAGUAACCUGCCCUUGACUCUGGGAUAAGCCUGGGAAACUGGGUCUAAUACUGGAUACGACAUGUCACCGCAUGGUGGUGUGUGGAAAGGGUUUUACUGGUUUUGGAUGGGCUCACGGCCUAUCAGCUUGUUGGUGGGGUAAUGGCUCACCAAGGCGACGACGGGUAGCCGGCCUGAGAGGGUGACCGGCCACACUGGGACUGAGACACGGCCCAGACUCCUACGGGAGGCAGCAGUGGGGAAUAUUGCACAAUGGGCGGAAGCCUGAUGCAGCGACGCCGCGUGAGGGAUGACGGCCUUCGGGUUGUAAACCUCUUUCAGCACGGAAGAAGCGAAAGUGACGGUACGUGCAGAAGAAGCGCCGGCUAACUACGUG
rnacentral:rRNA from 1 species